rnacentral:lncRNA from 1 species
GGCAUAUUAAUUUUCAGAUACUAUCUUCUCAGAAUCUACUUCAAUAUCUUUCACAUUCAGACUCUUAUAGCCAAUUUAUGGAUCUACUUCUUUAAUUUCCUCUAUAGCAGCUACCACAUCUCCAGUCUGAAUGUCUUCAGUAUUCUCUUGCUUCUUAUCAGUGUCUUCCUUCUCCACAUGAUGAAUUGUUCAGUAUUCUCUUGCUUCUUAUCAGUGUCUUCCUUCUCCACAUGAUGAAUUGUAUUAUAUCCGACCUAAUCUCUUUUAAAAUUUAUGAAAGCCAAGACAUCUAUUGCUUGACUCUCAAUUGUUAAGCAUCUUCUCCAAUAUUCUUCUUCUUCAACAACUUUUUCAGUUUGAACCAUGUUGCUUUCUGUGGCUCGAAAAUAUCUUCUUAUAUGUCCUACUUUGCCACAUCGAUAAUAUUUGAGAUGUUUUUUACUAUAAUAAUUGUUAAAAAACUUUUCCUUUUUUCCAGGCAAGCUUGAACCACGUGAUAAUUGAGUGUGAGGCAUAACUCUUGCUUUUCCUUUAACGCCCCUCUUAUCAACUACAAAAGCAUUUCCAUUUCUUUCUUUGACAAAUUCACCAGCCAAUUGUUUGGCUAAUACUCCGGUGACGGCAACAAAUUCUCAAAUUCCUCCAAGGAUGGUUGUUGAGUCCAUCCUUGAAUCGACGUCACAAAGGAAAUAUAUUCUGGCUUCAAUAUCUGUAGUUGAGCUUCAUUCUACUUGUUGAAUAACUAAUCGAGCGUCCUCCAUAUAUCGAAUAAACUGGAGGAGAUGGUUCUCUUCAAGGUGAGUUCCGCCUUCGCAUUAGUCUGCUUCCACUUCUUAUAUGCACCAUCAUUUUUCGGGUCAUCGACAGGAAGGCUUGUGUUACUUUUAUUGAUAAUAUUCCACAAGUCCUCACCCCUAAGGUAUGUUUUCAUACAUGUAUUCCAUAUCUUAUAAUUGGACUAAUUCAACAACUCCAUUCCUAAUCCAUUAGGAUGACCGCUCAAAUUCAUUCGCACAAACCAGUUGAAUUAAUCACAAACCCGAUCUUGAAAUAAACACAAGCCAAUCUAUGACUUUGGCUCUUAUACUAUAUAGAGAAUAGCAGAAGAAAGGCAUAUUUAAGAAACCUUCUGCUAAGGCAUAUUUAAGAAACCUUCUGCUAACCCAAAAUCGUUAACUAAGAUCGAAAGAUUCAACUAAGAAAAGAAAGUUAGAAAUGUGAAGAAAAAUAUUAAAAGGGAGAACUUAGAUUUGAAAGAAGACUACUUUAAUAUGCUUUGUAUUGUAUUGGAUUUAUUUUUGAAUAGUGUCAAACGUUCAAGGCCAUCCCUAUUUAUACUUGUUCAUGGAUGGUUCUA